rnacentral:lncRNA from 1 species
CAGACGAUCGCCACCGGAUUGAAGAAAAACGCAAAAGGACCUACGAGACCUUCAAGAGCAUCAUGAAGAAGAGUCCUUUCAAUGGACCAACUGAACCCCGGCCUCCACCCCGACGUAUUGCUGUGCCUUCCCGAGGCCCAACUUCUGUCCCCAAGCCAGGUAAGGAAGUCCUUUUGUCCUUCUAGAAUGAGGGUCUCGUUUAUUCAGACUGAAGUAUCUUCUAGAAGGGAACAGAACAGACACUAGUCUCACCUGCAGAGUUCUGAAACCUGCUCUCUAUGGGGCCUGUGCUUCUCGGGGUGAGGCCUGGGUCUCUGCCAGGACCAUCCAGGGAGCGGUGCAGAUGUGGACUCUUGGGCUCUGUCACAGACUGAUAAACUCAAGGCUUUGAAAGUGGGGCACAAGAACUAGCCAUUUCCUGAGGGUGCUAUUGGCUCCAGUUAAACCCUGAGC